rnacentral:rRNA from 1 species
UACGUGAGGUGCGAGCGUUGCCCGGAUUUAUUGGGCGUAAAGGGCGCGUAGGCGGCUCGGUACGUCCGUUGUGAAAUCGCCCGGCUCAACUGGGCGGGGUCAGCGGAUACGGUCGAGCUUGAGCAAGCUAGGGGGCAAUGGGAAUUCCCGGUGUAGUGGUGGAAUGCGUAGAUAUCGGGAGGAACACCAGUGGCGAAGGCGGUUGCCUGGAGCUUUGCUGACGCUGAGGCGCGAAAGCGUGGGGAGCGAACAGG